rnacentral:rRNA from 1 species
CAUAGCGACUAUCGUGGCAUAUCAAUAAGCGGAGGAAAAGAAACUAACUAGGAUUCCCUCAGUAACGGCGAGUGAAGCGGGAAGAGCUCAAAUUUGAAAUCUUCAAGGUUCUACCUUGACGAAUUGUAGUUUAAAGAAGUGUUUUCUGUUGGAGUUUUGGUAAAAGUUCUUUGGAAUAGGACAUCAUAGAGGGUGAGAAUCCCGUAUUUGACCGUUACUUUCCAGCUGUGUGAUACACUUUCAAAGAGUCGGAUUGUUUGGGAAUGCAGUCCAAAAUGGGUGGUAAAUUUCAUCUAAAGCUAAAUAUUGGCGAGAGACCGAUAGCGAACAAGUACCGUGAGGGAAAGAUGAAAAGAACUUUGAAAAGAGAGUUGAACAGUACGUGAAAUUGUCAAAAGGGAAGCGUUUGACACCAGUGUUGUUUUUCCGAAAAUCAAUUACGAAUGCUUUAUUUUUGAGGAGUUAUGACUUCAUCGGCUUGCUUCUCUCUUUAUGAAACUUUCUUAAUGCACUUUUCGGUUAACAAGUCAACAUCAAUUUCUUUUGUUGUAAAAGGGUAUGAGGAAGGUGGCUUUCUUUUCGGAGAAAGUGUUUAUAGCCUUGUACCUCUGCAAUCGGAGAGAUUGAGGUCUGCAGCGUAGAUCCUUCGGGGUUAGAUACAUUUGUGCUAAGUUAUAGCUUUUCAUAGACAACUUGUUGACUAUGUUAAGUCUUGUAGCUUACUCGCUUAUGCUAUUUUACCUACACUUAGGAUGUUGAUAGUCACAGCGUGUA